UAACAGGCUGAUCUUCCCCAAGAAUCCACAUCGACGGGAAGGUUUGGCACCUUGAUGUCGGCUCUUCGCCACCUGGAGCUGUAGGUGGUUCCAAGGGUUGGGCUGUUCGCCCAUUAAUGCGGUACGUGAGCUGGGUUCAGAACGUCGUGAGACAGUUC
rnacentral:rRNA from 1 species